rnacentral:lncRNA from 1 species
AAGCGGUACAGGAUGGAUGUCAGAGGACGAGGGGGUCACCUCUGGACCGCCAGGAAAAUCAGAAGACGUCUUAGAUCUUCUCCGUCCUAACUU